GGGCCGUUAGCUUAGUGGUAGAGCUUCCGGUUUGCAUCCGGAGGACGGGAGUUCGAUUCUCCCACGGUCCA
rnacentral:tRNA from 2 species